rnacentral:rRNA from 1 species
UACGAAGGGGGCUAGCGUUGUUCGGAAUUACUGGGCGUAAAGCGUGUGUAGGCGGGUCGUUAAGUGUCUUGUGAAAUCCCCCGGCUCAACCGGGGAAUGGCUGGGCAUACUGGCGAUCUUGAGCAGUCUAGGGGCAGAUGGAACAGACGGUGGAGCGGUGAAAUGCGUAGAUAUCGUCUGGAACGCCAAAGGUGAAAACAGUCUGCUGGGGACUUGCUGACGCUGAGACACGAAAGCCAGGGGAGCGAACGGG